GGGUUGGCUGGCUUCCAUCUGAAAAUCUCUGCUUUUGGAACUGGUGGAGGUGUCGUGUGGAUUGUGCGUGUGCAGUCAGCUUUCCACAUAUACCUUCUCUCUCGUCAUCUCAGGAGAGGAGGAAGAAGAGGAGAAGGAGGAAUCUCAAUUUUCUAAAUCUCAUAGCGACACAGUUUGAGAAGAAGAAGAAGAAGAAGAAGAAGAAGAGAGAUGGCGGAUCGGUUAACGCGUAUAGCCAUAGUGAGCUCAGAUAGGUGUAAGCCCAAGAAGUGCCGCCAAGAAUGCAAAAAAAGCUGUCCUGUCGUCAAAACUGGUAAACUAUGUAUUGAGGUUACCCCUGCUUCCAAAAUUGCUUUCAUCUCUGAGGAGCUGUGCAUUGGUUGUGGUAUCUGUGUUAAGAAAUGCCCAUUUGAAGCAAUACAGAUUAUUAACUUGCCAAAAGAUUUGGACAAAGAUACAACCCAUCGUUAUGGUCCUAACACAUUCAAAUUACACAGGUUACCAGUCCCAAGACCAGGUCAAGUUCUUGGCUUGGUUGGAACUAAUGGCAUUGGGAAGUCAACUGCCCUCAAAGUUUUGGCUGGCAAACUAAAACCAAACUUAGGGCGCUUCAAUAAUCCUCCAGACUGGCAGGAGAUCUUGACCUAUUUCCGAGGAUCGGAACUCCAAAAUUAUUUUACUCGUAUCCUGGAGGAUAAUUUGAAGGCAAUUAUAAAGCCUCAAUAUGUUGAUCACAUUCCAAAAGCAGUUCAAGGCAACGUGGGUCAGGUGCUUGACCAAAAAGAUGAGAGAGAUGUAAAGGAAGAACUCUGCGUUGAUCUGGACUUGAAGCAGGUUAUAGAUCGUAAUGUAGGAGAUCUAUCUGGAGGAGAGCUUCAGAGAUUUGCCAUUGCUGUUGUUGCCAUACAAAACGCUGAGAUAUAUAUGUUUGAUGAGCCUUCAAGCUAUCUUGAUGUGAAGCAGAGGCUUAAAGCAGCUCAAGUUAUUCGAUCUUUGCUCAGGCCUAAUAGCUAUGUAAUUGUUGUGGAGCAUGACCUAAGUGUUCUAGAUUAUUUAUCGGACUUCAUUUGCUGUUUAUAUGGGAAACCGGGUGCUUAUGGAGUUGUAACCCUUCCCUUCUCAGUCAGAGAAGGAAUCAACAUUUUCUUGGCUGGAUUUGUUCCCACGGAAAAUCUUCGAUUCCGAGAUGAAUCUCUUACCUUCAAGGUUGCUGAGACUCCUCAGGAGAAUGCUGAGGAAGUUCAAACAUAUGCACGAUACAAAUACCCUACCAUGAAUAAAACUCAAGGAAAUUUUAAGCUUCGUGUAGUUGAGGGUGAAUUUACUGAUUCGCAAAUUAUUGUCAUGCUGGGAGAAAAUGGCACAGGGAAGACAACCUUUAUUCGUAUGCUGGCUGGUAUGUUGAAACCUGAUUCUGUGGAAGGUUCCGAUGUGGAAAUACCUGAGUUUAAUGUUUCAUACAAGCCCCAGAAAAUCAGUCCCAAGUUUCCAUCUACUGUCAGACACUUGCUAAUUCAAAAAAUCCGAGAUUCAUAUACUCAUCCCCAGUUUAUAUCAGAUGUGAUGAAGCCUCUUCUUAUUGAACAAUUGAUGGAUCAAGAAGUUGUCAAUCUUUCUGGUGGGGAGCUGCAAAGAGUUGCAUUGUGUCUAUGCCUUGGAAAGCCUGCUGAUAUUUAUCUGAUCGAUGAACCUAGUGCCUAUCUUGAUUCGGAGCAGCGUAUUGUUGCUUCCAAGGUCAUAAAAAGGUUUAUCCUCCAUGCAAAGAAAACUGCCUUUGUGGUUGAGCAUGAUUUUAUAAUGGCAACUUAUCUGGCAGAUAGAGUUAUUGUGUACGAGGGGAGGCCAUCAAUUGAUUGUACUGCAAAUUCUCCCCAGUCAUUGUUGACUGGGAUGAAUCUCUUCUUAUCUCAUUUGGAUAUCACAUUCAGAAGGGACCCAACUAAUUACCGCCCAAGGAUUAAUAAACUGGAGUCUACCAAGGACAGGGAACAAAAAUCUGCUGGGUCCUACUAUUACCUUGAUGAUUAAUAUAUACAGAGGCACUGUUCAUUCAUGACCACUAUCCUCUUUACCUACACAUUAUUUGGCAUCCAUGGCAGUUGUGUGGCUUUGCUGCAUCCUUAAAUAUUGCUGAUGAGAGGUGUUUCAUUAAUGAAGUGUAGCUGUUUUGUUUCUGAAAAGAGUUUGCAGUGGCCUUACAAUUUAGUGAUGCUGAUUCAGUCUACUUCCACCUACAGUGUGCUUGCCAUUGUCCAGUUUUGGUAUGGAUAUUAGGUGAAUGGAUCUGAGUUGUACUUAAAAGAAUUUGUUUGUCUAACCAUUUUUGGUAUGAAAUUAGUUACUAGACUAGAUGUUCUCUGCGGAGCAAAGAAAGUGAUCAUUUCAAAUUGAGUUAUAACGAUAUAGACUUUUUUACUUUUGUAAUUUAUGGUUGCUUUAAUUUGUGUUGAAUUUAUUUAGUAGAAAUUGUAUUUCUGGCUC